rnacentral:rRNA from 1 species
UACGUAGGGGGCAAGCGUUGUCCGGAUUUAUUGGGCGUAAAGAGCGUGUAGGCGGCCUUACAGGUCAGCUGUGAAAACUCGAGGCUCAACCUCGAGAGGUCGGUUGAAACCGUAAGGCUAGAGUCCGGAAGAGGAGAGUGGAAUUCCCGGUGUAGCGGUGAAAUGCGCAGAUAUCGGGAAGAACACCCGUGGCGAAGGCGGCUCGUC